rnacentral:rRNA from 1 species
AUUGAACGCUGGCGGCAUGCUUUACACAUGCAAGUCGAACGGUAACAGGUUAAGCUGACGAGUGGCGAACGGGUGAGUAAUGCAUCGGAACGUGCCCGGUCGUGGGGGAUAACGCAGCGAAAGCUGCGCUAAUACCGCAUACGAUCUGAGGAUGAAAACGGGGGACCGUAAGGCCUCGCGCGAUCGGAGCGGCCGAUGUCAGAUUAGGUAGUUGGUGGGGUAAAGGCUCACCAAGCCAACGAUCUGUAGCUGGUCUGAGAGGACGACCAGCCACACUGGGACUGAGACACGGCCCAGACUCCUACGGGAGGCAGCAGUGGGGAAUUUUGGACAAUGGGCAAAAGCCUGAUCCAGCAAUGCCGCGUGCAGGAAGAAGGCCUUCGGGUUGUAAACUGCUUUUGUACGGAGCGAAAAGGUCUCCUCUAAUACAGGGGGCUCAUGACGGUACCGUAAGAAUAAGCACCGGCUAACUACGUGCCAGCCGCCGCAGUAA